UACGUAGGGGGCAAGCGUUGUCCGGAAUCAUUGGGCGUAAAGCGCGUGUAGGCGGCUUGGUAAGUCUGCUCUGAAAGCCCGGGGCUCAACCCUGGGAGGCGGGUGGAUACUGCUGAGCUCGAGUCCGGAAGAGGCGAGUGGAAUUCCUGGUGUAGCGGUGAAAUGCGCAGAUAUCAGGAGGAACACCAAUGGUGAAGGCAGCUCGCUGGGACGGUACUGACGCUGAGACGCGAAAGCGUGGGGAGCAAACAGG
rnacentral:rRNA from 1 species